rnacentral:rRNA from 1 species
ACUCCUACGGGAGGCAGCAGUGAGGAAUAUUGGUCAAUGGGCGCAAGCCUGAACCAGCCAUGCCGCGUGCAGGAUGACGGUCCUAUGGAUUGUAAACUGCUUUUGCACAGGAAGAAACACUCCGACGUGUCGGAGCUUGACGGUACUGUGAGAAUAAGGAUCGGCUAACUCCGUGCCAGCAGCCGCGGUAAU